UUUCGCAAUGCCCGAAAGGGUGACGAAGCGACGCCGCGUGCGGGAAGAAGGCCUUCGGGUUGUAAACCGCUGUCGGGAGUUAAGAAAUGUAAGGAUGUUAAUAGCAUCUUUGCUUGACUAAGGCUCCGGAGGAAGCCACGGCUAACUCUGUGCCAGCAGCCGCGGUAAUACAGAGGCGGCAAGCGUUGUUCGGAAUUAUUGGGCGUAAAGAGCACGUAGGCGGCUAUGUAAGUCGGUUGUGAAAGCCUUCCGCUCAACGGGAGAACAGCAUCCGAUACUGCAUGGCUUGAGUGCGGGGGGGGAGAGUGGAACUUCUGGUGGAGCGGUGAAAUGCGUAGAUAUCAGAAGGAACGCCGGCGGCGAAAGCGGCUCUCUGGCCCAUAACUGACGCUGAGUGUGCGAAAGCUAGGGGAGCAAACGGGAUUAGAUACCCCGGUAGUCCUAGCCGUAAACGAUGGGCACUAAGUAGAGGGGUUUUA
rnacentral:rRNA from 1 species